UACGUAGGGACCAAGCGUUGUUCGGAUUUACUGGGCGUAAAGGGCGCGUAGGCGGCAAUUCAAGUCAUCUGUGAAAUCUCCGGGCUUAACCCGGAACGGUCAGGUGAUACUGUUUUGCUAGAGUGCGGAAGGGGCAAUCGGAAUUCUCGGUGUAGCGGUGAAAUGCGUAGAUAUCGAGAGGAACACCAGAGGUGAAGACGGGUUGCUGGGCCGACACUGACGCUGACAGCGCGAAAGCCAGGGGAGCAAAGCGGG
rnacentral:rRNA from 1 species